CACGAUAACCACCGUCUCCUAACUCAUUCAACCACCAAAUUUGGUGACUGCACCAGGAUUUUUUCUUGUUUUAAAGCCAACUUAAAAAACAAAUAUGGAUUUUUCAGAUGCCAUGGCUUCUGCACUGAAAGAAACGUGAACUGGGAGGAAAAGCACUGGGUGUCAUUGCGAGGCCGUGGCUCACUGCGUGAGGUCUGCCAGUGAAAUCGGCUUCUGUCUUUUUCCACCCCUGAGGGGUGUGGGCAGAGGCCACUCCGUGCCAGUUUUAGAAAGCCCUCGGCAGCUUCACGGUGCCCUGCUCGAGCUGGACGUGGACAAGGCCGUAGGACUCUCUCUCAGGAUGCGGGGAGGGAGGUGCUUCCUCCCGCUGAGCCUAGGGCGCCCCCUGGGGACCACAUGGAUGAAGGCCCAGCAGCUGGAGGCCGGCAGGCGGACAACCAAACCAGAUUCAGAAUGUCACCUCCAACAUGAACGUCACCUUCUCCUCCCGCCCUUCCCAUGGCGAUGCGUGGGUCAUAGACGGACCGCUGGCACAAGUCAUUCAGGACUCCCUCACCCAUCUCAUGGACAUCCUAAAAUAUCACAGAUACUCCCACAGAGCUUUGCCCAAGGCAGCUUACGAUCUCCAUGGCAACAGCCAUCCAUCUGCUUAACUUUUCUAGGAAGCAAGAAAAGCCAAAAGUCAGGAGAAUGAAGGAAACCACAACAACAACAACAACAAAAAAGCAAGAAAAAAUGUAACUAUCAGCUCUGAAAUUCACAAAGGAAUGAACAAACAUGUUUAACAGAUCAUGAAGCAAACCAACAGACCAUCAAUAUGUUAGUUAAUUAAUGCAUAACUAUUAAGUGCUGUGUGCACUCUGUAUUAGGGCUUCCCCUGGGCUCCUCAAACAGGCAUUUAGGAAUAUUCCACAGUUGUGCUGUGUUGGCUUUCCAUAGCAUCUUAGACACAGCCAAUAAAAGAAAUACAGGAAAGAGAGAACUAAGUAGAGAAUAAAUAGAAGAUUAAAUAAAAGGACCCGGAUGAAGAGAAUCUUUGAAAUACAUGAACCUUGACUAAUCAGUCCCUUGCAAAUUUCUAUCAAGGUCCUAGUAGAUGCUGUCAAUGGUAUGGCCUAUAAGCAGUUGAAUAGUAUCUUUCCAAACUCUGGGCUUCAGAUUUCUCAGCUGGAAAUUGGGGAUAAUAGUUGUACCUCCCUUGAAGUUUAUUGUGAAUGUCAAAUGAAAAAUAACAGUCCAAGCAUGCAGAAGAGCAUCUGGUGGGGUAACCAGGAAAUCAACAUUAAGGAAGGAGACAAAUCAUAAGUGCAUAGAAACCGAACAAUAAAGACAUCAAUAGAAGAGAUGUCAAAAUGGAGUGCAUUAUUAAUUGCCAAACAAGUGUUUCUCGCCCCUGAAUGUCAAAACUGAGGGCACAGAGCAAAGAGAGAGCCAAAAGAGUUUGGUUUCUCUCACUAGCCAAGCACCUGCCUUUUGCACGUGUCUGAGAAGCUGCAAACUGGGUCCCUCCAGAGAUACCAUGGAUCGUGAUGGGCUUUUUGGAAAGGACUUAGAGCUGACCCUUAGCAUGGAGGCGGUGCAGUGAGGUGCUGGAUCCUGCAGCCAUGGUGCCCGGACUGCCCAAGUUCAAAGCUCAGCAUGGACACUCACUACUUGUAGGCUCCCGGGAAAGUAGUCUCAGUUUCCUCCUAUGUAAAUGAAGAAUAAUAAUAGUACCUAUUUGGCAUGAGGAUUAAGUGAGAGAGUUCCUAUAGAAAGAGUACCCAGCAUACACGAGUUAGAGUGUGCCUCUACCUUGGAGGCUAAACCAGCUGCUUCUUCAAGACCUCCAAGCAAAGCAAUUCCACAACCUGCUCUAGUCUUCAUUCCUCCUGUUAGGAAAUCCUCCUUUUCUAAUAAUUGGAGAGGGCCAUUAAAGAUUUUAAUAAACCAACUCAUUCUCCACAUGAGGAAACUAAAACCAGGAAAGUGUAAGCGAUUUGACCAAAGUCAAGUGGUAGUUAGUGGCAGAGCUGGGGCUGGCUCCCAGUGGUCCUGAUACCCAGAUCCAUCCACUGCUGCCUUCUGUGGGCACUCUCAUUCUGUGCUCAUUGGCAUGGGGGCCCUUUGGUUCACGUAAUUCCAAACUCUUAGGCAGGGCAGUCCAGGCUCUCUAUGGUCUGCCCCUCACUGGGUUCCCAACACACAGUAUCUUCUUCCCCAUUUGGGCUCUGGACAAAUUGCAAAAUAAAACAAAUAGUGCAAACAUGGCCUGAGAAUCACCUUUAUUGCUGAUAAAGGUGAAGCUGGAGAACCCAGCUUAGUAUGAGAGCUGGUGGGCCUACCAGCUGAUCCCCAGAUUGGGCAAACUCCCCCACAGAGCCCCAGGCAUGUGGACUGCGACAGGGAGGAUCAGAUUUCCAUGUGGCAGACAAUCAUGGUCUCAUGAGGAAAGAGGACAAGUCUAAGCAACAUAUGCCUAAGUCUUCUUCCCUAACUUAUCAACCAGAGAAGUCACAAGCAGGAGAGGAGUCAGGAGUGUACAUAGGCAAACUCCCUUUCUUAGAAACCAAGGGUGGAAAAGUCUUCCUUUCUAGCCUCACCUCUUUCCAACCACCUCCCUCUUGCUCCCUACUCUCUGGCCCUACAAACCAACGUAGCCGUUAGCCGCACUCUGUUCCAGGUUCUGCCCACGCUCUUCCUGUUCAACAGAGGGCCUGUGCCCUCUGGAUCCCUUUGGGUCAAGUACCCACUCAUCUUUCAAGACCCUGUCCAUGCUUCCCUCUCUAAAGAUGGCCUUCCUUCCUGUUCUCAGGUCCACCCUCAACUCCCCGUGGUUCGUUGUGUCCCCAUUGUGUUCAGUACAGACGUUCAGCCCUUUCAGCAUUUAAUUCCACUUACUGCCCUACAGGCAAAGGCUACAUCAUACUCAUCUUAUGUUCCAAGCUUUGAACAUGGUAGGUCUUUUCGAUAACUUUUGGUUGAAUAAAUGGUG